GGGGAAUCUUGCGCAAUGGGCGAAAGCCUGACGCAGCGACGCCGCGUGGGUGACGAAGGCCUUCGGGUUGUAAAGCCCUGUGGGGUAGAACGAACUGGCAUCGGGCUAAUAUCUCGGUGUCUUGACGGUACUGCCUUAGCAAGCAUCGGCUAACUCUGUGCCAGCAGCCGCGGUAAGACAGAGGAUGCGAACGUUGCUCGGAUUUACUGGGCGUAAAGCGCGUGUAGGCGGUCUCGUUAGUCGGGUGUGAAAGCCCCGGGCUCAACCCGGGAAGUGCACCCGAUACUGCGAGACUGGGGUACUGAAGAGGAGAGCGGAAUUCCCGGUGUAGAGGUGAAAUUCGUGGAUAUCGGGAGGAACACCAGUGGCGAAGGCGGCUCUCUGGGCAGAUACCGACGCUGAGACGCGAAAGCGUGGGGAGCAAAC
rnacentral:rRNA from 1 species